UUCUCUUUGCUUUCAGCUUCUUUACAGUGUUGCCUUGUGGCAUGGAGUUCAAGCAGCAUUGUACAGGGCUAUCAAAGCACAGAGAGC
ensembl:miRNA MIR107 microRNA 107